rnacentral:misc_RNA from 1 species
GAUGAAGAACGUAGCGAAAUGCGAUAAGUAAUGUGAAUUGCAGAAUUCAGUGAAUCAUCGAAUCUUUGAACGCACAUUGCGCCCGCUAGUAUUCUGGCGGGCAUGCCUGUCCGAGCGUCAUUUCAACCCUCAAGCCCCCGGGCUUGGUGUUGGGGAUCGGCGAGCCUCCGCGCCCGCCGUCCCCUAAAUCUAGUGGCGGUCUCGCUGUAGCUUCCUCUGCGUAGUAGCACACCUCGCACUGGGAAACAGCGCGGCCACGCCGUUAAACCCCCAACUUCUGAACGUUUGACCUCGGAUCAGGUGGGAAUACCCGCUGAACUUAAGCAUAUCAAUAAGCGGAGGA